CGCGUAGGCGGCCUUCUAAGUCUUGUGUGAAAUCCCUCGGCUCAACUGAGGAACUGCACGGGAUACUGGAUGGCUUGAGUUCGGGAGAGGGAAGCGGAAUUCCGGGUGUAGCGGUGAAAUGCGUAGAUAUCCGGAGGAACACCGGUGGCGAAGGCGGCUUCCUGGACCGAUUACUGACGCUGAGGCGCGAAAGCUAGGGAGCAAACG
rnacentral:rRNA from 1 species